AUUGUUCAGCCAGUCGCGCUGGUUUCGCCGCGUUGGGCUGAUCCUGCGUCCUCUCCAGGUCGCAGCCCCUCCCGAAAGCUGGGCAAGGGGACCAUCCCUGGCUGUGAGCUCUCUGCGGUCCUCGGGUGCAGGCCACCAUGAGCAAACGGAAGGCGCCGCAGGAGACGCUCAACGGGGGCAUCACCGACAUGCUCACAGAACUCGCAAACUUUGAGAAGAACGUGAACCAGGCUAUCCACAAGUACAAUGCCUACAGAAAAGCAGCAUCUGUGAUAGCAAAGUACCCACACAAAAUAAAGAGUGGAGCAGAAGCUAAGAAACUGCCUGGAGUAGGAACAAAAAUUGCUGAAAAGAUUGAUGAGUUUUUAGCUACUGGAAAAUUGCGUAAACUGGAAAAGAUUCGGCAGGAUGAUACGAGUUCAUCCAUCAAUUUCCUGACUCGAGUUAGUGGCAUUGGUCCUUCUGCUGCAAGGAAGUUUGUAGAUGAAGGAAUUAAGACAUUAGAAGAUCUCAGAAAAAAUGAAGAUAAAUUGAACCAUCAUCAGCGAAUUGGGCUAAAAUAUUUUGAGGACUUUGAGAAAAGAAUUCCUCGUGAAGAGAUGUUACAAAUGCAAGAUAUUGUACUAAGUGAAGUUGAAAAAGUGGAUUCUGAAUACAUUGCUACAGUCUGUGGCAGUUUCAGAAGAGGGGCAGAGUCCAGUGGCGACAUGGAUGUUCUUCUGACCCAUCCAAGCUUUACCUCUGAGUCAACCAAACAGCCAAAGCUGUUACAUCGUGUUGUGGAGCAGUUACAAAAGGUCCAUUUUAUUACAGACACUCUGUCAAAAGGGGAAACAAAGUUCAUGGGUGUUUGCCAGCUUCCCAGUAAAAAUGAUGAAAAGGAAUAUCCACACAGGAGAAUUGAUAUCAGGUUGAUACCCAAGGAUCAGUAUUACUGUGGUGUCCUCUAUUUCACUGGGAGUGAUAUUUUCAAUAAGAAUAUGAGAGCUCAUGCCCUAGAAAAAGGCUUCACAAUCAACGAAUACACAAUCCGUCCCUUGGGAGUCACUGGAGUUGCUGGAGAGCCGCUGCCCGUGGAUAGUGAGAAGGACAUCUUUGACUACAUCCAGUGGAAAUACCGAGAACCCAAGGAUCGAAGUGAAUGAGGCCCAUCCUCCCCGGCACAGCCCAAUAGGUGCUCAUUUGUUCCUUGUGUAUCUGUGUCAUCUUGGUCAUCGAUCUGCCUCUCCAGUGUUGGGGUUGCAUCUUCCAUUGCAGUGCAAACAUCUGAGAGACAAGCAGGUGGAGUUAGAGGAUGAGAACCACAGACAGGCUCAUUAUCAGACUGUCACAGGGUUUGGCAGUACUUCCGCCUUCAGUUUCUGUAUAACUUUCUAGAUUUCCGGGACACAGGCACUAAAUAUUUACAUCUCACAUAUGGCAAAGCAGGUGCUUAAGUAAUUAAUGGAAUCUAAGUGAAAACAGAAGAACUUGAAAGAUUCCAACUUGAACCCUUGCUUUAAAAUCAUCUCCAAGUUGCUGGCAAGUUGUUGCCGGGAAAGAAACUAUUUUGCUGCAUCGGGAAGAGGCAGCUGCGGAGAACCACUUUGGAGCCUUUAGAGAGUGCCUGUCGUGGAAUACCCUAGUCUAAGAGACCCGGAUGCUGUGUCUGCUCUUUGGGAGCGCUGCAGUCCUGCAAGUCUUCGUGCUGACUCACCGUUCACGCAGAGCGUCCCUGGGCAGCACACGGCAGCCCACUGGCACCACCUCCGUAAUCCACGACAGGUAGCACAGGAUGGCUUCUCAUCCUGGGGUUUGAGGCAGAAUUUUCUAGUGUUGCAGUCUGUGUCAGACAUGCACUGUGAACCCUGUAAAGAGAAGCUGUUGUCACAGGGCUAGGGAGUCCGGCGAGAUGUGAAGAGUUUUUAUUCCAGGCAGGAGAUGGAGAAAGCCAAAAAGAGAGGCACUUUAAACACUGAGGCAAACCUCAAGCAGCAUCUUGACUUUUCGCUAGAAUUGGUUUUCUUUCACAAAGGGGAGAGCAAAUCACCAACGAAGAGACCUAUGUGCAAAGGUUAUUUGUGUCUGAAAAAUUGUCCUACUUUUAAACAUAGAAUUUCAUCUUUUAUGCUCUCUGUGAAAAUGGAAGAAAAUGUUUUCCCACGUGUGUCUUAGAGACGGUUAUGAGAUUUUUGAUAUGUAUCUAGAAGCUCUAGAUGCUGUGCGAUAGUUUAAAGAAGUGUUGGUGUUUGUGGCAUCCCUAUUUGACCGUUUUACUCCAGUGAAUCACAUCAGUCACCAUUUGCCAAGUAGGCCCCUCAGUGGGCCAACCCAACCGUCCUUUGAUUUCUAGUGAUGCCUCAUUUGCAGAGAAACAGGUACCGAAGACUGAUUUCUCUCAUCUACGGUUGAUGCUUUUUCAUAUGUAUAUGAAACAUUUCCUAUAAAACAAUUCUGUGAAGUGAGAGGGUUGGCACGCAGCAUGUAACUUCUGACUCCCAUAUUCCCUGGCUGUGUGGCCUUGGUUAAAUUCCUCAGCGUCUCUGAGCCCAUUUCCGCCAUCUGUCAUUAGGAGAUGUGACAGCUGUCUCAAGCUCUGAGGAAGAGGAGAUGAGAUAGUAUGUAUAAAAGGCCUGGCACGUGGUGUAUAGCUUUCUAAAUGUUAGCUUACUCCCUGAUUUAUAGGUGAAUUGAUAGCCCUGAAAUUCCAUGCCCUGAAAAGCCACUUGGCUCAUCUGGUGAGUUAAUGCUAAAGCGUCUGGAUUCUUCCAGGGUGCCUUCCACAGCCUCCAUCUGGCCCACUGUCUAGAUUAGCUACUUCAGAUGCUCAUCUGCGUGAUGGCUUCACUCGAGCCCAGCGCCCAGCCCUCCUCCUCUACCGAGCGUUACCUUCCGGGCUCCUUGCGCAUCCACAGAGCUCUUGUUGUUGACAUCCAGAACCAGGGCUCCCAGGGGGGCGCACAGCCAGCCAAGCCGCAGCAGGACCAACACCACCAUCCUGGACCUUCUCAGCCCUCCCUGCGUCCUCCUCGAAGCUGGGCUGCUCUGAACCCACGAUGGAGCUUUUGCCAAAAUGGGAACUCGGCAAGUCGCCCUGGAAUUGCUUUUUCUGAAAGAGAAGCAAAUCUUCGUUGGAGGAAGGUCAGGGCCUGGAUUUCCCAGACGCAGACAGCAGAGCACGUGCAGAGCCCACCGCCCCCACGGGGAGCCGUGGCCCCGCUAGCCACACAACGAAGGAAGCCCUCCCGUGCACUUCCGGCCAGGAUGCUGCCACGGGGCGCCUCCUGGCAAGGACUGUGGGCCACCUGGCAAGCCCGCGCCGGUCCUCCUCGUGCCUCCGGGUGAAAAUUCUCGAGAAGAAAUUCCCCGGGGCUCCUGGUUCAGCACGGCGGGGGAUGCCAGCCCCCCGGGUGACUCCUGGCCAGGGCGGAGGUGCGGCGUGGGCUGGUGUGUGGGUGUGACACCUGCAUCCUCCGGGGACAGCUGCUGUAGCUCCCGGAGCUCACGGCAGAGGCGGCGCCGGGAGUUACGUUCACUCCGGAACGGACAGUUUUAUUUGUUACGUCUCCUGUGUCGGCACCAGUGUGAUUUCCAUACACUUUGCUUUUCUUAAAAGCCAAUCAAAGGAGCCGAAACAAGCGGGUCUUUGGCAGGCUCUCACGGGAAAUGGUCAGUAAAUGAAAGAUGAGGGGGCAGGUUGAUAAGGGGAGACAAAGACUGCAGGAUCUGUAUAAUCACAGCGCUGGUGUAAGCACUGCCGCUGAGGUACCUGAGGUCAGGAGGCACGUAGCUGCCGGCCCAGGAAGCGGGUUUAUCAGAUGUCUUGCCCCUCAGGGCGGGCCCGCUUCCAGAAACAGCCUGGGAGACUGGGUCCUGCUCAUUACCAAUUGUGUGGCCUUGGCUAGCUCACGUACCUCUCAGCCUCAGCUCCUCGCGGCCAGCAGGGCUCCUCCAGACCAGUUUUCCGGGAGUGUGUGAUGCCGGGCGGAGGGGGAGGAGGGGUUGGGGGGUCAGCCACCAUGAGGCUCACCCCAGGGGCACCACGCAGACCGGCGUAUGUGUGAGCGGCUCCCUCUGGAGUUGGCCAACCAACCACGUGGCGCUGGGACCUGCCUUUCCCGUAAGGCAGCCUCCGUUCUCCCGAUCCCAACCUGGCGUCCAGCUGGAAACAGCACCAGGGGCCCUGAGCUUCCUUUGUCAAGGUUGUGCUCUGCCUUCUUUUUGCUUAAAAAUAUUAGAUGAU